AAAGGUUUUCCUAAGUUCUUUCUCAGGAUGUGGAGUAUAAGUGCUGUAAACGGGAUUUCUAUCUGCCCAGUCUUUUGAAGUUAGGUGGGAGACUGAGACUUGUGGUUAUAAAUAAGUUGAGUAUUUUAACGAGACACCAGAGGUUCUCUGUAGGAAACAGAGGGAUUGUAGUUGGGUAGGUUGUGUGGUUGGUUUUAGAUGAGUGUCAAGACAUCAUGUAAUGGUCACUAUGUUUGGUUAGGUCCGAUAGUUUUAAACAGGAGCUGACAUCCGUUUGACGGACCACAGUGAACUUUUGGGGUCUGAGGAAGCCGUAAAAGGGGAUGUAAAUGGCUACUCGAUGACAGAGUUAGUCUGGAUAUUAAAGGGGUUUGUAUCCAAUAGGUGUGACAUGUUCAUGAAUAUGUUUCCGUCUAUGGGUAAUCUAUUGGUAGUUGGAGAUCGAUCUAUUUUGUUGAUACCUUUGAGAAUAAAUUUGAUGGGGUACGUGGAAAGAAAAGGUGGGUGAUUGGGAAAGGUUGUGAGGACGUGGUGCUGUAUACCUGUAAGAUGUAAUUUAAUAGUGUUAGGUGCUAAUUGUAGGUGUAGGUGGCAAAAAUAGAGUAAUUAUUUGAAACUUUAAACUCUCCACCCAAUAUGUGGAACUCAGUCAACGCCCUGUCGUAGACUCUUUUGGUGUUGGCAGACACAACGUUUCGUGAGAGUGACUGUGCGUGAGUCAAUAAUUUUGUUAAUCCAGUGUUAACUCUGGAAAUGUCGGUAUUCUGGAUGGGAGCUGGUUGGCGAAGGGAUGCACCUUGUGGAAUGCUUGAAAGUGAGAUCGGGACAAAGC